rnacentral:misc_RNA from 1 species
GAUGAAGAACGCAGCGAAAUGCGAUAAGUAAUGUGAAUUGCAGAAUUCAGUGAAUCAUCGAAUCUUUGAACGCACAUUGCGCCCGGCAGCAAUCUGCCGGGCAUGCCUGUCCGAGCGUCAUUUCUUCCCUCGAGCGCGGCUAGCCCUUCGGGGCCUGCCGCCGCCUCGGUGUUGGGGCUCUACGGGUGGGGUUCGUCCCCCCCGCAGUCCCCGAAAUGUAGUGGCGGUCCAGCCGCGGCGCCCCCUGCGUAGUAGAUCCUACAUCUCGCAUCGGGUCCCGGCGAAGGCCAGCCGUCGAACCUUUUAUACUCAUGGUUUGACCUCGGAUCAGGUAGGGUUACCCGCUGAACUUAAGCAUAUCAAUAAGCGGAGGA